UGUAACCGUGUUUCCUCUCUCUAUCGUUCUCCUCGCGAGUAAACCUGUUCUGGUUCUUUUCUCCUCUUCCUUCCAGCGUGUGGUUAAAUGUCUGAUGGUAUUUAGACCUGACAUUUUCCCAGUUUGCACGUAUAUUACCAGGCCCUUCUCUUUCAGUAAGAUUUUGAAUUACAUCUCCAGGCAGCACUGGUUGGCACAGCCGCCUCACAAUCAAGAGGUGCAGGGGUCGAUUCCAGCUCUGGCCUUUCUCUGUGGAGUUUGCAUGUUCUCCAUACCUGUGUGGGUUUCCUCUGGCUACUCCGGUUUUUCGCUACAUUUCAAAAACAUGCAUGGUUGGCCAAUUGACUCUAAAUCUUCCGUAGGUGUGAUGGUGUGUGUGAAUGGUUGUUUGUCUAUGUGUGCCCUGCAAUUGGCUAGCAACCAGUUCAGGGUGUACCACACCUACCGCCCAAAGACUGCUGCGAUAAUCUCCAGUACGCCUGCGACUGUCGUGAGGAUAAAGAAAUUAAGGAAACGAAUGCAUGGAAUUGAGGUUGUAAUACUGAGAUUCAGGGGGCGUACGUUUUACACUUAAGAUAGGAUGAGUCGAUACGAUUUUUUCCAGUUUGGUAUAACAGGAAGCAAAUCCUGACUCCGUUUAGGAAUCUUAUUUUAUCUUUAGAAAUCUAAAUCUAAUUUUAGAAAUCUUAGUGAGUUAGGAAUCCUAAAUAAGCGAUCUAAACAUCUAUGAUCGAGUUUAGUGUCUGUUACCUAGCAACUUAUGCUAUAUUAUGUCUUGUGAAGUUUCAUCUUGUUAACAAAAACUACCUAGCCGAGAGUGUGAGAAAGAGAAAGAUAGAGAGCCGUAAACUAAGUAUGGAAAGCACCACUAAACAGCGGUGCUAUAGUAUUAUAAGUAUGAUGACUUACCCGAAAUAACGGAGCCUAUUCAAUUUGUUGCCAACGAGACCCAAAAAGUUUCCUACCACAAUCAUGUCUUGCCGCGCUGUCCUGUGUACAUUUUACAAUAUUAACGACGUAUGUGUUGUGUCGUAAACGAACACGUGUAGUCUAAUAAAUGUACUUACUAACAAAAUAACACAAAUGCACGAGAGCACUAACAGAAUGUGCGUAGCCUACAUCUUGCAUGCUCUUCUUUACUUACUAGCCGACUCAACUCAUGUUACAGUGUGUUGGGCUCCACCUAGUGAAGGGGAUGAACAUGAGAUAAUUGCCUAUACCAGGGGUGGGCAAACUUUUUGACUGGCGGGCCGAAUUUGGUUCUAAGUUUAAACCGGGGGGCCUAACCAGGAGCAGAUGGAUGUAGUGUUUGUGUGAAGUAAUAGAAAUGACAUGUAAAAGUCAUUGCAUAAAAGGUUUGUACUUUUAGUAGGUAGUAAAGCAUGGAUAUUCAAAAAAAGCCUUUUGAAAACAAAUGCAUUCAUUACCAGCAUUAAAAAAUUAUUUCACCAAAAGACUACUAUCAGUGAUUCUCAUUAAAUAUGUCAAGUGACAUGGUGGUACGAGAUGGUGUAAAAUUAGGUAGUGAAUUUGGCCCAGGCACAUUGGCUAUCCCAAAACAUGUAGUAGUUCAAAAUUUCACCAGGAGAUGGUGUUAAAGCUUCACAUAGGGGUGACCUGAUGGAAAUUAACAAAUCUAAUAAAUCAAAUAGUUAGCAAUUGGGAGGACACUGUUCAAACACGUAGCCACGCACAAUUUUGGAAUAUGAAUUUGCUAUGUCAUAAAUUUAAGAUGCAACAGCUUGAGCAAUAUCAAUAUAUGUGUUUAGGUUGGAAGAACCCAUUAUUGCGUUAAGUACUAUUAUGUGUUGAGAUUGAUCUUUAUUAGACAAGAUAUAUGUGAUUCAUGUUGUAAUGUUUUGUCCAACCUGUAUUUAACAUUGGUGUUCUAUGGAAGUUUAUCUGUGCCAUCGGAUUUUGAAUUCGAAUUUGUAGCACUGAAUUUUUUUACAUCCAAUUUUUAACACUGAAUUUUUUUUUGCAUCUCAAUCAGACUUUGAAUUUUAAAAGCCAUCGAAUUUCUAGCACUGAAUUUUUUUUUUCCUAAGACAUUUUUUUCAAUGUCUCAAAAAAUUCAGUGUAAAAAAAUUCAAUGUCUUAAAAAAUUCAGUGUAAAAAAAUUCGACAUCUCAAAAAAUUCAAUGUAAAAAAAUUCAAUGUCUAAAAAAAAUCAGUGUAAAAAAAUUCGAUGUCUCCAAAAAUUCAGUGUAAAAAUAUUCAGCGCGGACAUCCGGGGUAACCAAGGGAGAAGUAAUCGAUCCCUGUAUCAAAUCAUCCAACGUUCAGCCAAUCAAGUUACGCUCCAUUGGUCAUGUGACGUCGAAACAGGAACGUCGUGAAGUUCAAAGGUGAGCUCCGGUCAGAGCUCAGGAUGGCCCAAAACACAAAUAAUAACGCUUCGGUAAUAGGACGUGUCACAAGGCAAAUUAGGCAGCUGAGACGAGGUCUUAAAGAAACGCCAAUUUGGAGACUGUUGACCCAAAGACCAGACACAGUGGCUUUGCUUUUUCCUGAAGAGGGAGCAGGAAAUUUCAGCCCUGAGACUGGGGUCCUGGAACUGAGUAGGUCCGUCGAGCGAUACAUCCUACGUGGACCAUGCGGCUUAUGACACCAGUGGUGUCAACACGGUGCAUGGAGGCUCUGACGCGGUUAUACUGCACCCUCAGUCCUCUGGCUCGCAGAAGGGCCUUCACCAUCCGAUAUCCAGAGUGAGGCUGCCUCGACUUAAUCUCUCUUACACACUGAUCUAACUCUUCAUCAGUCAUAGUGCUGUAUAAUGCCUUAACUGAGAGAUCAGACUCAGCCAUGCGUCUGUAUACUGUGCGCCUGGACAUCCCCAAAAGUUUAGCUAUACAUGGAACAGACAGAUUAAGUUCCAAAGGUUUGCUAAGGUACUCUGGGGAUAUGACCAUUCUUUGUCGCCCAGCCGGUCCUUGCUCAAACUGCACACCUGCAAUGUGUUGCUCCCUUUUGUCUUUUUCCAGAUUGAUAAGACUGUGUAGCUGUGUCAGUGAGUCUAGAAUAGCUGGACAAACAGUUACUUGACUGGAUACAGCAUUUAAUAACAAGUUCUUGUGUGCAAGUGAACUCUAAGUCCAGAUCAAGAGGCAUGCGUCCCAGAAUAUGCUCCAAUCGAGAGCAAAGUCUUUCUAAAAGAUGAUUAAGCAGGAGUUCCUAGGAGAGAAAAACAAAAUCACUGUGUGAGCACAUUUUAUGGAAAAUUCAAACUAAGCAUGGAUUUGUUAACACUUUUAUGUUCUCUUUUUAUUGUCUCAAGUAAGUUAACAUCUCAUGAGUAUCGGAGUGAGUUCAGAGCUGAGAUUAUUUAUUUUCAUAUGAAAAAUGCUCAUCUGAAAAUGUAUUCUGUAAUUCUGUAAAUAAAAUACUGACUUUUACGAACACAAAAGGUAAAUAAAGAGUACACUCACCGAAGCGUUAUUAUUCGUGUUUUGGGCCAUCCUGAGCUCUGACCGGGGCGCACCUUUGCACCUAGCAAACUUUUAAGGAACGCCACUUUAUUAAAAGUUCCCUGUGUAGAUAUUGUUCAACAAAUUCUGUUAAUAAAUAAAUCUGUAAUCUGUAAUUCUGUAAAUAAAAUACUGACUUUUACGAACA